rnacentral:rRNA from 1 species
GACGAACGCUGGCGGCGUGCUUAACACAUGCAAGUCGAACGGAAAGGCCUGCUUUUGUGGGGUGCUCGAGUGGCGAACCGGUGAGUAACACGGGAGUAACCUGCCCUUGACUUUGGGAUUACUUCCGGAAACUGGGGCUAAUACCGGAUAGGAGCUUCUUCUGCCUGGUGGGGGUUGGGAAGGUUGGGCGGUUGGGAUGGACUCGCGGCUUAUCAGCUUGUUGGUGGGGUAGUGGCUUACCAAGGCUUUGACGGGUAGCCGGCCUGAGAGGGUGACCGGCCACAUUGGGACUGAGAUACGGCCCAGACUCCUACGGGAGGCAGCAGUGGGGAAUAUUGCACAAUGGGCGGAAGCCUGAUGCAGCAACGCCGCGUGCGGGAUGACGGCCUUCGGGUUGUAAACCGCUUUCGCCUGUGACGAAGCGUGAGUGACGGUAAUGGGUAAAGAAGCACCGGCUAACUACGUG